GCCAGUAUGGUGGAUAUGAUCCUCGGCUUGUAACUGAGUGGUUUCGGGUUCGAAUCCCGAAUAAGGCA
rnacentral:tRNA from 1 species